GAGCCUGGUUGGGGGACAGAGAGAGAGCAGGGGAGAAAGCUGGCCUUUGCAGCCACCCAGGCAGGCUCUUGCCCUGGCUGAGGUCUGGACUGGGCACUGGGAGAGAGAGGAGAAAUGAUCCCUGUUGUCCCCCCCACCUACACACACCAAAGGAAAUUGUAACCUAAUGAGGGGAGGGAGUGGAACACACUUAGGCACACAUUAGGUGUAAGAAAGAGCAUCAAUCUUCCUGCCCAUCUUUUCAUUCACCAAAUAAUGAUUCCAUCCUACCACCAAUCCAUUCGUUCUCCAUUCCCCUAUUUGGCCUCUCACCUGUGAGCUAACUCAUCUAUCUCUCAAUCGACCUGUGAGGUAUAAACCCAUUCACCAAUCCAUCCAACCCAUUCAUCCACCAACCCAUCCAGACAUAAUCCAUCAUCCACCUAUCCACCAUCUGUUCAUUGACCAGCCACUUAUCCAGCCACCACCCUAUUCAUCUACAAAUCCGUCCACCAGCACAUGCAUCCAACCAACCACUCGCUUACCCAUGUGAGCAUCCACCCCCCUCUACAACCCGUGUAUCCAUUCACCAACACACCCAUCCAUCCACACAUUCACUCAUUCACUUAGUGGCUCAACCAUUGGGCAACCAUUGACCCUAUGCUUCUUGAACUGUGGUAGGUAUGGAAGAUGCGGCGGUGAGCAAGGCCUAGCUCUUCCAGUAAGGAGCUCACGGUCUGGUUGAGGAGAGAGACCUCUCAGCAAUGAACUACAAUAGUGCCGGAACAGUCUGAUGACAGAGGGACCUGGCAGCAGAGAGGCAACCACCGAAUUGAGCCUGUGCAGGCCCUUACCGUCCUCAGGGCGCAGCUGCAGGGGCGUGGAGCUGGGCUGAGUCAUGGUGAAGAGCGUGUCGGAGAUGUCGGACAAAAAGCAGUCCAGGUCCAGAAGCUGCCGCCCGCCAGGCUCCUCCUCUGGGCCCCCGAGCAGCACGGGCACCACGCUGGAGAAGAGCUGCUCGCACCAUCGCUCCGGUGGUUGCCAACCCCCUUCCACCUAGGGAGACAGAACCUUCAGCAGCCACGAGAGAGGGACACCGGGGUCUCCCGCUGCCCUUGGCCCUUUCAUAUGGCCCCCGCCUGGGGGAUGAAGCGGUCAGUACAUGGCCCUCCUCACCUCUCUCUCUGGAGGACCCAGUUUGCCUACUGGAAGGCUUAUGGUCACCCCAUUGGCCUUUAACAACUGUCCCCACGAGCUAGAGCUGGAUGGCCUGCUGAACAGAUAAGGGGCCUCUUCCUGUCCCCUCUA